UACGUAGGGUGCGAGCGUUAAUCGGAAUUACUGGGCGUAAAGUGUGCGCAGGUGGCCGCGCAAGUCGAGUGUGAAAUCCCCGGGCUCAACCCGGGAACUGCGUCCGAGACUGGCAGGCUCGAAUCCGGGAGAGGGGUGUGGAAUUCCAGGUGUAGCGGUGAAAUGCGUAGAUAUCUGGAGGAACACCGGUGGCGAAGGCGGCAUCCUGGACCGGUAUUGACGCUGAGGCGCGAAAGCCAGGGGAGCAAACGGG
rnacentral:rRNA from 1 species